UGUCAGUCGCCAUUAUUAUCCGAUCGUUUGUUUGUCGUAUUGUGGAAAAUUCUCUUAGUUUUAUUGUAUUUAUUGAAGUUAAUGAAUCUACUGUGUGAUAUGAAGCAUAUUUUCUGCAUUAUUAUCGGAUUCUAAACAGCUUGGAAAAAAGUCGAUAGAAAAACUGGAGAACAGCGAUGGUACGCGAAAUAUUCAAUAGAAAAGGUUGCGCGAAAAAGGAAAAUUGCACAGAAUUUGCAAUAAAUUUACAGUCAGAGAGAUUAAGAAAUUUUAGAAUAAUGGAUGUUAAGGGAUGUUCGUUUGCUUUUAUGGCUUUAUAUAGGGAGCAUCCGUUCUAUUGACGAUCCUUGUUAAUCCUCCAUACGCGAUUCCACAAGCUCGCAUUACAAUGGUAAUACAUGGUAUUACAAUAAACGUUUUGGGAUAAAACUUUUAUACUUUGGGAUAUAUGUAGAACAUAUUUAUAUUCAUAAUUUUUUACUAAGCCAAUAAUAAAAAAUAUAAAUAAUAUAUUAAAACAAAUAACUUUAUCUUAAAAAACAUUACGUAAUUAAAAUAAAAUUCGCAAACGCACAUUCUUGAUCUCGAAUUUAAGAAACAAGUUUAGAAAUAUUACAUUUCUAAAUCUUUGAAAUGACGGCUAUAAAUUCUAUCCAUCUAUAGAUUCCAAAUAAAAUAAAAAAAAAGAGAAUAGUAAUAAUAAUAAUAAUAAUAAUAAUAAUAAAUAGAAACGUAUUUAGAAAGAAGUACAUCGGAUAAUCAUUCUGAAAUUAAAGUUUAAUAUUCGCUCGAAGCAUCGAAGCGUCGAGCCAAUCGUUCGUAUUCAUAUAACGUCUCCCCUUUCUUUACUCGUGAAUUCUUUCUUCUUGGAGAAGAUUCAUACCGGAAUUCAUAAGAAAUAGUGCAACGCUAGGCAAAUACGGAAUCUCGGAAGGUAGUCGCAAGUUCCGGGCAAUUUUCUUCUUUUGCUUGUAAUCGCUUCCACGAUCGCGUCUUUCAACGUGGAGCAAAGGGUCGGCAAAAGGGUGGAAAAUAAGGGAAACAGACGCCGGAACGACGAAGAUGGACGCACAAAGAAACGGUAUGGCUGAUAUAGAGAAGAGGGUACGAUAAGCAGGACGGUGGAUAAAUAGAGGACGAGAUAAGCAGAUGUAGGUGGCAUUUGUAGAAAGAAUGGACAUGGGCUCAAAAUGAAGGCAAUUUUGGCCGCGCCAUUGUCACGUGAUAAGUGUUCAUCCGAUGGCGAGCUGACGUUUUCAAUUACACCGAGCCCUCUAUUAUCGAGCCAGCCACAGAAUUUUUAUCGCGUACCUAUGAUUCAGCGACGAUCGAAGGGGAACCGCGAAAAAUUGUCAAUGGACGAUGAGGAAAACGGGUAAAUUGGAUAAUAAAGUUCUCGAUUCUUCUCGACUUUUUCAUUGUCGCCAUCGAACUGGGUCGGUGGAGCGAUUCCGCGGGUAACAAUGUGGAUACACAGAGACACAGAGAUUUUGAAAUGUAUGUAUAUAUAUAUAUAUAUAUAUAUAUAUCCGUGCAUUGUGAGACUGUAACGUGGAAAUUUUUAUUUUUCAUGUUCUGAGAAAAUUGGAAGAUGUAACUGUCCGGCUAGGAAUACACUCCAUUGGAGGAAAGUGCACAGCUUAUCGAAGAAUUCUCUGGAUGGUUUAGAAUGUGGUGGAAUAUGGAAAUAGAUUUAUCUCUUGAGCAUAAAAAGUAUGAGGGAAAACAGAAUUAUUUGAUAUUGAUUUCAUCAGUUAUUUUAUUAUACAAUAUAUAGAAAAAUCCAGUUACCAACUGUUUAGAGGCGAUUUUGUAAUAUUAGGAAAGAAAUUUUAAAAAUUACGCCUUGAUUUCAAUUUUAAAGGAAUUUUGUCUCGUUAAAAUGAAAUAAUUUUUAUAUGGAAUAAUAUCUGCGUUAAAUUUGUAAUAAAUUUCUUCAAAGAUUAAAAAUUUUCGCGUUUUAAACUGUUACUGGAUGGAAAAAUACGUAUUAUUUGUUCAACAACAGAAGCGACCAGGUAAUAAGAAUAAAACUCAAAUGUAGAUAUUUUUUUUAUCCUUGCAGUGUUUGCAUGCGAAAAUGUGCAUUACAUCAACCACUUUGAGGAUAUUAACUUUCCAUAUUGCAAACUUUCAUGCUUCUUUUUCAAGUUUUUAAUAUUAUAUAUGUUUUUCAAUUAGCUGAAAAGUUUGCACAAGAAAGUUUCACUAAAAAUCGUAUGCUUUACAAUAACAAGUUGAAAUUUUUUUUUAUCCCACAUACUUUUUAAUUUAAAUUAACGAUGUAGUUUUAAAGAACGUGCACAGCGAUAAAAUUCUUCUGUUUAACAAUCUUUCUGUUUAUUUUCUCUCAACAGGUCAUCUCGAUAUUGAAAUAAAAAAUUCUUGGAAAAGCGUAAUCGAUUAAUGUAAUUUACGAUAUGUAUUUAUUUAUUUUUUUUUCCAUUUAUUUUUUCUCGAUCAUCAAAUAUCAUAAUCAAAGAAGAAAAUACUUUCUACAUAACUAUUAUAGAUUAAAACGAAUAUUUUUAUAUAAUGCAAUUUUUACUCGAGAAGAGAACGAUUAAUCCUAUUAAUAUUUCUUGCCCAAUAUCGAAUUUCCUCGUUGAAGAAAAGACUAUUUUAGGAAAAAUUUAGGAAAAAUCGAAGAAGUCGUUCGAUUGGCCUACUUUCUCCGUUUAAUCCUGGAUUACCAACUGUUCCCUAUCCUUCAAAUUAUCCUCUCGUUGUAGAAAGCUUUCACGGUAUCGAGUAAACGACGUUAAUAAUUCUGCCAUUUUAAUCUCUUCAAUGUAAUAUUCAUUUUUCUGGCGGUUUCGCGAUCAAGCCUUUUCAUCCCUUCUGCUGGUACAAGGAUGAUUCUUCGCGUUUAAUGGGUUCCAUUUAAGCGAAUUAAAAAGUCGAUUUCUCUUUUCGAGAUUGGUGGAUGCGUGUAUUAUGGAGAAAUACUGAUUUAUACGAUCAUUUUGAUGAUUUUAACGGAGGCGAAAAAUUUUGAAAAGAUUAAAUUAGUAAAAGUGAAGUUAAAUAUAAUGAAAAUUUCUAAAUAAAUAUUUGAAUAAGAAUUUUAUCUAUUCUUUCUUUUAAUUUUUUUUAUUUAAUUCUUUGAAAACGUAAUUAAUUUAAGAAUCAAAAAUUUAUUUCAUUUGAUCCUAAACGAUCUUUAAUAGGAAUAAUUAAACAAAAUAUAUCACAGAAAUUAACUGUUAUCAUAUACAGCUUUUAGAGAAUUUAAAUAAAUUAAACGAUCAUUUGGAAUUGUACGAAUCAAAGAGAUAAAACGACGAAUGUGUUAAUACAAACUAUUUAUACGAAUUAAGAAUCGUCAAACAGACAGAGUUUCUUUCACAAUUUUCCCAAAUAUUUAUCAAUAAUACUAAAUUUACUAUCCCAUAUAUUCAUUCCAUAUACAGUCUACGAUAUGAUUUUAUUUUCGUACGCAAUAUAACUUAGAACCAUUCUUAAUGUAUUCGAUUAGAGAGGAUGAGAAAGGGAUUCUUACAUGACAAAGAAAAAUAACGAUGGAUACAAAACCUUCCAAAUGUUCUUCUCUCUAUUUCGUUUACCGAGAAAUUUCAUAUUUCGAGUUAUAUUCCCGAGAAAUGGGAAUGCUAUUAUAAUUCAGACAUAUACCUAAUAUAAUAUAAAAAUAAAUAAUAACAUUACAGAACGAUAUUUAUUUAUACAUUUUCCUUUCGCUUACCAAAAUUAACCCACUUUUGCCGCUGAACUAAAAGAAAAAAAAAAGAAAGCUAAAAAAACCACUCGAAAAACAAACAAUCAACACCUCUCCACGCAUCAACUUCACCUCGCUCGAUUUCCCAUUUCCAACGAUCCCUCCUCCUUCAAAAUUAACCCCCUCAACUCCCGAGAAGAAAGCUAAAGCCAAGCCAAAGCGUCUCGCCCGUUCGAACAGGGCAAAAUAAAAAAGAAGGAGAAUCUCUCAAAGCCUCUCCUCUCCCUCGCCUCGGUCUCAAUCAACAAAAAAAAAAAAAAAAAAAAAAUAUCGAGCAGAAUAAUGA